UCUGGGUGCAGUGGCAUGCGUACCUGUAGUCCUGGCCACUUGGGAGACUGAGGCAGGAGGCUCACUUGAGCCCAGGAGUUCAGAGUUGUAGCCGAUUAGGUGUCUGCACUAAGCUUGCCAUCAAUAUAGUGACUUCCUGGGAGUGGAGGACGACAGGUUUCCUAAGGAGGGGUGAACUGGUCCAGGUUGGAAACAAGGGAAUGUUAAAAAUACCAUGGGCACGGUAGCUCACACCUGUAAUCCUAGCACUUUGGGAGGCUGCAGCAGGAGGAUCAAUUGAGCCCAGGAGUUGGAGAUCAGCCUGAGUAAUACAGUGAGACCCUGUCCCUA
rnacentral:SRP_RNA from 1 species